AUUUCUUAAGAAGAAUACCUAGAAACAUCUGGGGUCCUUCUAUUUCAUUGUCUUACAAUUAUUAGGCUUUGUGUAAACGCUCGCAGAUUGAAUGACGAAAUAAAAGAAGAAACUACAGCACAGCCUGAGAGAUGUAGCUGGUGCUGCCACUUUUCCUUCAUUUUUCCCUGCCUUGAAUAUGGUGGUGAUGCCUGGAGCUUCAGCAGCCAUCUUAUGGCCAUGAAAUGGCAAGCAUGAGAAUGAAAGAAAAUGCACUCAUCAUGAAAGGAGGAAGAGCAGAAGAAAUCUGGGUCACUGGUGAUAUCAAUGGAUAGCUGAAGCAGUGUGGGCGCCUCCUUGACCGUCCAUGAUAUUGCAAAUAUGUGGUGCCAAAAGCUUAUGUGUACUUCGUCAAACUGACCAUGGCAGCUGGACGUCUCCAAGCAGCCACACAUGUGAAGGCGGAACUCACCCAGGCCAGCCUAACAGGCCUGGGAAUUUCCAAAGUAAAUUAUCAAGAAAGCCGAGGCUAUGAAACCCACAAGUUUAAAAUGGGCAGGGGGCUAAUUGUCUCUGAAGUUUAAAUGGCUUGUUUAUAAAAGGCUUCUCCAGCAUUCGUAUUUUUUCCCCAUUUCUUGAAAACUACAUUCCACUUGAAAGGAGUGAGAGGGAAACGCAGGCGCCCUGUGAGCCUUGUGAGUUUGCCGUUGAGCUCUGCUUCCUUUCAAGAUCUUCACUUCUGGGAGAGCUCCUC
rnacentral:lncRNA from 1 species